rnacentral:lncRNA from 1 species
CAUCAUGUCACUGAUCAAGAAAGGUGUAACUGCUGGAGAUCUUCACAAAGCAUUGCUCCUCUCAAUUCCUUCAUGUUGCUGCUCAACUUCUUCCUUUCACCAAGAAAGUGGAAAUCAACAGAUUCUUGUUUAUUGAGACAUGAAACGGUCAUACUUCCUUUCACCAAGAGAGUGGAAACCAACAGAUUCUUGUUUAUUGAGACAUGAAACGGUCAUAUUUUGUAAAUGAUAGCUCAAAACAGAUUGUAUGGCAGAAGAAAAAUAGGGAACUGAAAUUUGUUUCAUUAGAGAUGGAAUAGAGCUUUAACAUUCUCAUCUUGGAGUAGCACUAUUAUUUUAUUGCAGGCAAUUGACUUUGUCUAUCAAAAACUUAGAGACGUAUGAAUCAAAACAACACAAGUCUAAAUGACAUGAAAA